rnacentral:rRNA from 1 species
GACGAACGCUGGCGGCGUGCUUAACACAUGCAAGUCGAACGAAGUGGCGAACGGGUGAGUAACGCGUAAUCAACCUGCCCUUCAGAGGGGGACAACAGUUGGAAACGACUGCUAAUACCGCAUACUGAAGGAGGGGAUUGCGUCUGAUUAGCUAGUUGGGGGGGUAACGGCCCACCAAGGCGAGGAUAAGUAGCCGGUCUGAGAGGGUGAACGGCCACAUUGGGACUGAGACACGGCCCAGACUCCUACGGGAGGCAGCAGUGGGGAAUCUUCCGCAAUGGACGGAAGUCUGACGGAGCAACGCCGCGUGAGUGAUGACGGUCUUCGGGUUGUAAAGCUCUGUUGUUAGGGAAGCGGUACCUUAAUAGAAAGCCACGGCUAACUACGUGCCAGCAGCCGCGGUAAUAC